rnacentral:rRNA from 1 species
GAUGAACGCUAGCGGCAGGCCUAACACAUGCAAGUCGAGGGGUAUAGGCUUUCGGGCCUAGAGACCGGCGCACGGGUGCGUAACGCGUAUGCAAUCUACCUUGUACAGGGGGAUAGCCCAGAGAAAUUUGGAUUAAUACCCCAUGGUAUUUUAGGGUGGCAUCACCUUAUUAUUAAAGUUCCAACGGUACAAGAUGAGCAUGCGUCCCAUUAGCUAGUUGGUAUGGUAACGGCAUACCAAGGCAAUGAUAGGUAGGGGUCCUGAGAGGGGGAUCCCCCAAACGGGUACUGAGACACGGACCAGACUCCUACGGGAGGCAGCAGUGAGGAAUAUUGGUCAAUGGGCGCAAGCCUGAACCAGCCAUGCCGCGUGCAGGAUGACGCAUCUAUGGUGUGUAAACUGCUUUUGUACGGGAAGAAACCACUCUACGUGUAGAGUAUUGACGGUACCGUAAGAAUAAGGAUCGGCUAACUCCGUGCCAGCAGCCGCCGUAA